rnacentral:rRNA from 1 species
GACGAACGCUGGCGGCGUGCUUAACACAUGCAAGUCGAACGGAAAGGCCCUGCUUUUGUGGGGUGCUCGAGUGGCGAACGGGUGAGUAACACGUGAGUAACCUGCCCUUGACUUUGGGAUAACUUCAGGAAACUGGGGCUAAUACCGGAUAGGAGCUCCUGCUGCAUGGUGGGGGUUGGAAAGUUUCGGCGGUUGGGGAUGGACUCGCGGCUUAUCAGCUUGUUGGUGGGGUAGUGGCCUACCAAGGCUUUGACGGGUAGCCGGCCUGAGAGGGUGACCGGCCACAUUGGGACUGAGAUACGGCCCAGACUCCUACGGGAGGCAGCAGUGGGGAAUAUUGCACAAUGGGCGGAAGCCUGAUGCAGCAACGCCGCGUGCGGGAUGACGGCCUUCGGGUUGUAAACCGCUUUCGCCUGUGACGAAGCGUGAGUGACGGUAAUGGGUAAAGAAGCACCGGCUAACUACG